rnacentral:snRNA from 17 species
GUGCUGUGUUCGCAGAGGGACACCAUGGUCAGGAAGGGGGUUUUCCCAGGGUGAGGCUCAUCCUCCACACCCCGUGGUGUGCUGUACCCCGCAAUUUCUCCAAACGCAGAAAACUUACCUGCAGAUUUUGAAGUAGUGGCAAUGUUCAUACUCUUCCUU